CCCCUUACCGGGCCAUCCCAUACAAACAUGGAAAAGACCUGCUAAUAUGCGUAAUAAGAGAGCCAAGACUCUCUCCGUACACAUGUGUAACUCGGAUCGAACUAACACCGAAUAACAACGGCCCCAAGUAAAGAGGGUUGUGAACAGCACUAAAACUAGCAAGAAAAGACUUCACACUAUACCGUUAACCCUACACAGGUGUGUUGCCACGGAAAGACUAAAAGAGAAAGAAGGAACUCGGCAAACUAAUAAGCCUCGCCUGUUUACCAAAAACAUCGCCUCUUGCAAAAUUAACGAAUAAGAGGUCCCGCCUGCCCUGUGACUAUAUGUUUAACGGCCGCGGUAUUUUAACCGCGCGAAGGUAGCGCAAUCACUUGUCUUUUAAAUGAAGACCUGUAUGAAAGGCUAGACGAGGGCUUAACUGUCUCCUUUCUCAUGUCAAUGAGAUUGAUCUCCCCGUGCAGAAGCGGGGAUAAUACCAUAAGACGAGAAGACCCUAUGGAGCUUCAGACACCAAAGAAGACCAUGUUCCCAACCCUCCGAUAAGAGACCAAACUAGUGGUUGCCUUCCCUAAUGUCUUUGGUUGGGGCGACCGCGGAGAACUACAAAACCCCCGCGUGGAAUGGGCACACCGUUCCUUAAAUUAAGAGCCACAGCUCUAACUAACAGUAAUUCUGACCACCCAGAUCCGGCAAAGCCGAUCAACGGACCUAGUUACCCUAGGGAUAACAGCGCAAUCCUCUUUUAGAGUCCAUAUCGACAAGGGGGUUUACGACCUCGAUGUUGGAUCAGGACAUCCUAAUGGUGCAGCCGCUAUUAAGGGUCCGUUUGUUCAACGGUUAAAGUCCUACGUGAUCUGAGUUCAGACCGGA
rnacentral:rRNA from 2 species